CUCAAAGGUAAGAAAGCCUUAUUAUUUUUUUAGCUCACUUAAAAGAUAUAAAUAUUAAAACUUAUAAUACCGAAAGCUCGCGUAUUAAAGCCUUCACAGACUACAAACUUUUAUUUGGCAGAUAUACUAGUAAGUUCGCUUAGAUAGUUUUAAAAUUA